rnacentral:rRNA from 1 species
UACGGGGGGGGCAAGCGUUGUUCGGAAUUACUGGGCGUAAAGAGCUCGUAGGCGGUUUGUCGCGUCUGCCGUGAAAGUCCGGGGCUCAACUCCGGAUCUGCGGUGGGUACGGGCAGACUAGAGUGAUGUAGGGGAGACUGGAAUUCCUGGUGUAGCGGUGAAAUGCGCAGAUAUCAGGAGGAACACCGAUGGCGAAGGCAGGUCUCUGGGCAUUAACUGACGCUGAGGAGCGAAAGCAUGGGGAGUGAACAGG